rnacentral:lncRNA from 1 species
UCAUGCCAAACUCAAAACCCAACUUCCUUAAUUCCUACCGCAACUGAAAGUCUGAAACUGUCUUCGUUUACUUCAUUAAUCAAACUACCUCUCUUGCUAAUAUGUCUGUAUCUUGAGUUUUCGUUUUGAUUAACAAGAUUGAUUUAUCUUGUGUAUGUGGCUAAAAGCCUAAAACACAGAGAAAAAGAAGGGACAAUUUAAGACUACACUGAAGAACUUCUCAGCUUGGUUAACCAAGAUGUUCGAUUGCCAGUGGGUGAUUUGUCAUGUUAUACAGCUCAUGAUGGAACUCCGAGAUCGAUAUUGUCCAAGAAUGUUUUUUCAGGGUGGGUGAAGAAUAUGACAACAUAUGUUUCUUGGAUCGAGCGCCAGGUACUAGUUUUAUCACGUUUAAUAACAAUGAACCUUUAGAAAGACAAAAUUUUGUUUAAUUUUUUUGGUCUGGAUUGUAGCUGAUUAUCCCGGAUAUCUUGAGAAACGUGAAGUAGAAUGAGAUAAUAGGUACACUCAGAGAUCAAAAGGACCAUUGUAAGUGUGACUACAAAACGAUUCUUGCUUUUAAUAAAUAUUUGUAAGAUAUUUGGUGAUGAAUCUUUUGUUAUUGAAAUUUUCUUAGUGGUCUGUUGGGCAAUCGUAGCCACUGAGCUUAUACAGGCUGUGAGACGUUGACAUAGACGUGACACAUACCCCACCA